UAUGGUCGACCUGCAGGCGGCCGCGAAUUCACUAGUGAUUCGUAUUACCGCGGCUGCUGGCACAGAGUUAGCCGGUGCUUAUUCUGUCGGUAACGUCAAAACAGCAAAGUAUUAAUUUACUGCCCUUCCUCCCAACUUAAAGUGCUUUACAAUCCGAAGACCUUCUUCACACACGCGGCAUGGCUGGAUCAGGCUUUCGCCCAUUGUCCAAUAUUCCCCACUGCUGCCUCCCGUAGGAGUCUGGACCGUGUCUCAGUUCCAGUGUGACUGAUCAUCCUCUCAGACCAGUUACGGAUCGUCGCCUUGGUGAGCCAUUACCCCACCAACUAGCUAAUCCGACCUAGGCUCAUCUGAUAGCGCAAGGCCCGAAGGUCCCCUGCUUUCUCCCGUAGGACGUAUGCGGUAUUAGCGUCCGUUUCCGAACGUUAUCCCCCACUACCAGGCAGAUUCCUAGGCAUUACUCACCCGUCCGCCGCUCUCAAGAGAAGCAAGCUUCUCUCUACCGCUCGACUUGCAUGUGUUAGGCCUGCCGCCAGCGUUCAAUCUGAGCCAUGAUCAAACUCUAAUCGAAUUCCCGCGGCCGCC
rnacentral:rRNA from 1 species